GCCUAGCUGGCUCAGUGAGUAGAGCAUGUGAUUCUUGAUCUUGGUGUCGUGAGUUCGAGGCCCACAUUGGGUG
rnacentral:tRNA from 1 species